UCUUGCUCCUUUCAAAUGACAACUACAGUAGCAAUAUUUAAAGAAAGUCCUGAAAUUCAUUUUCAUAAUAUCAAUAUAAAUUGAAAAUAAAAUGAAAUUGACUUAUACGUAUGAUUUAUUUGAUCACCUUGCACUUUCAAGAUGUGACUGGUUUGCUGAGGCUCUUCUAUACCUCAGGAAUAGAUUGCCUUAGCUGUAUUUGGCAAAUCUUUUAGGAAUUUUGGUCCUCAAUGCUCUCCAACUUUGUACUUUCUUUCGCCUUUCAAACUUUUCGGAUUCGAGCAUCACUGAUGAGUCUUUUGUAGACGAAACCCACUUCUGGCAUACAAAAUUUAAUCCUGGUAUCUAUGAUGAGUUUAUUUUCUACAUCAGUUGCUAAAAAUAUCUGACCAGUUAGGGGUCAUCCAUAAUUGUCAACCAUUUCCCAAAGUGUACAAAACGUACACUUGGGGGGAGGGGGUUAAAAAAUCAACAUUUUUACCGUACGCUUUUUUUUCCAGAAUUUAUUUCGUUUCCGUAGGGAAGGUCGAUGUAUAAAAUCGAGAAUUGGCUUGGGUGUGUUUCUCUUCUUAUUUCUUCUUUAUUAUUUUCACUUGAUGAUAUUCAUGUCGAUAUCAUAUUUCUCCUCAAUCCGGAUUGAACAAAUAAAAGAUCAAAUCAUAUGAAAACUAAAUCUUUCAAAAAUGUAAACUUGUAAUUUUUUUUAAACAAAAAGUUUGCAAGCAUUUCUCAGUACCCCCGAUUGUCAAUUUAACCUGCUUUAUUAUAGAUCGUUAUCGUUUCACUCUGUUUAAUAAACAAAACUGAUGGGAACACUAAAUUCUUUGAAUGUUUUGAUUUUGACAAGACACCAUUUUGUGAAAAGAUUUUAAACUGGUCCUUCGAUUAAUUUCCUUGUAAUGUAUUCCAAAACAGUAAACCAGUAAACCGGAAGUAAACUUAUUUUUCUUAGUAUCAG
rnacentral:lncRNA from 1 species